rnacentral:rRNA from 1 species
UACGUAGGUGGCAAGCGUUGUCCGGAUUUACUGGGCGUAAAGGAUGCGUAGGCGGACAUUUAAGUCAGAUGUGAAAUACCCGAGCUUAACUUGGGUGCUGCAUUUGAAACUGGGUGUCUAGAGUGCAGGAGAGGCAAGUGGAAUUCCUAGUGUGGCGGUGAAAUGCGUAGAGAUUAGGAAGAACACCAGUGGCGAAGGCGACUUACUGGACUGUAACUGACGCUGAGGCACGAAAGCGUGGGGAGCAAACAGG